rnacentral:rRNA from 1 species
UACGAAGGGUGCAAACGUUGCUCGGAAUUAUUGGGCGUAAAGCGCACGUAGGCGGCUUUGCAAGUCCGAUGUGAAAUCCCACGGCUCAACCGUGGAAGUGCAUCGGAAACUGCAGAGCUUGAGUACAAAAGAGGAUCGCGGAAUUCCCGGUGUAGAGGUGAAAUUCGUAGAUAUUCGGAAGAACACCAGUGGCGAAGGCGACUCGCUGGACAGACAUUGACGCUGAGGUGCGAAAGCGUGGGGAGCAAACAGG